rnacentral:rRNA from 1 species
UACGAAGGGGGCUAGCGUUGUUCGGAAUUACUGGGCGUAAAGCGCGCGCAGGCGGUUUUUCAAGUCAGUGGUGAAAGCCCGGAGCUCAACUCCGGAAAUGCCAUUGAAACUGUAAAACUUGAGGACGAGAGAGGUGAGUGGAAUUCCCAGUGUAGAGGUGAAAUUCGUAGAUAUUGGGAAGAACACCGGUGGCGAAGGCGGCUCACUGGCUCGUUUCUGACGCUCAGGCGCGAUAGCGCGGGGAUCAAACAGG